rnacentral:piRNA from 1 species
UGAGCCGAUGUUGAACCAGCUGAGGAUAGGC